rnacentral:rRNA from 1 species
UACGUAGGGUGCAAGCGUUGUCCGGAAUUAUUGGGCGUAAAGAGCUUGUAGGCGGUUUGUCGCGUCUGCUGUGAAAUUUCGGGGCUCAACCCCGAACUUGCAGUGGGUACGGGCAGACUAGAGUGUGGUAGGGGAGAGUGGAAUUCCUGGUGUAGCGGUGAAAUGCGUAGAUAUCAGGAGGAACACCGGUGGUGUAAACGGCUUUCUGGACCAUAACUGACGCUGAGGCACGAAAGCGUGGGUAGCAAACAGG